AUUGAACGCUGGCGGCAGGCUUAACACAUGCAAGUCGAGCGGAGAUGAAGUGCUUGCACCUUAUCUUAGCGGCGGACGGGUGAGUAAUGCUUAGGAAUCUGCCUAUUAGUGGGGGACAACAUUCCGAAAGGAAUGCUAGUACCGCAUACGCCCUACGGGGGAAAGCAGGGGAUCUUCGGACCUUGCGCUAAUAGAUGAGCCUAAGUCGGAUUAGCUAGUUGGUGGGGUAAAGGCCUACCAAGGCGACGAUCUGUAGCGGGUCUGAGAGGAUGAUCCGCCACACUGGGACUGAGACACGGCCCAGACUCCUACGGGAGGCAGCAGUGGGGAAUAUUGGACAAUGGGCGGAAGCCUGAUCCAGCCAUGCCGCGUGUGUGAAGAAGGCCUUUUGGUUGUAAAGCACUUUAAGCGAGGAGGAGGCUACCUGGAUUAAUACUCUAGGAUAGUGGACGUUACUCGCAGAAUAAGCACCGGCUAACUCUGUGCCAGCCGCCGCCGUAAAAC
rnacentral:rRNA from 1 species